UACGCUGGCGGCGUGCUUACACUGCAGUCGAAACGAACUUCGGGUUAGUGGCGGACGGGUGAGUAACGCGUGAGAAUCUGCCCUCAGGAGGGGGACAACAGUUGGAAACGACUGCUAAUACCCCAUAUGCCGCGAGGUGAAAUGAAUUUCGCCUGAGGAUGAGCUCGCGUCUGAUUAGCUAGUUGGUGUAGGUAAUGGCUCACCAAGGCAUCGAUCAGUAGCUGGUCUGAGAGGAUGAUCAGCCACACUGGGACUGAGACACGGCCCAGACUCCUACGGGAGGCAGCAGUGGGGAAUUUUCCGCAAUGGGCGAAAGCCUGACGGAGCAACGCCGCGUGAGGGAUGAAGGCCUCUGGGCUGUAAACCUCUUUUAUCAAGGAAGAAGAUCUGACGGUACUUGAUGAAUAAGCCACGGCUAAUUCCGUGCCAGCAGCCGCGGUAAUACGGGAGUGGCAAGCGUUAUCCGGAACUUAUUGGGCGUAAAGCGUCCGCAGGCGGCCCUUCAAGUCUGCUGAUAAAAAGUGGAGCUUAACUCCUUCAAUGGCAGUGGAAACUGUUGGGCUUGAGUGUGGUAGGGGCACGAGGGGAUUCCCGGUGUAGCGGUGAAAUGCGUAGAUAUCGGGAAAGAACACCAGUGGCGAAAGCAGCUCUGCAUUGGGCCAUCACUGACGGCUCAUGGGAACGAAAGCCAGGGGAGCGAAAGGGAUUCAAUA
rnacentral:rRNA from 1 species